CCCAUUGAUCCCAAUGUCCCCAUUGACCCCAUUGACCCCAAUGUCCCCAUUGACCCCAAUGUCCCCAUUGACCCCAAUGCCCCCAUUGACCCCAAUGUCACCACUGACCCCAAUGACCCCAUUGAUCCCAAUGUCCCCAUUGACCCCAAUGUCCCCAUUGACCCCAAUGUCCCCAUUGAUCCCAAUGUCCCCAUCAUCCCCCAUUGACCCCAAUGACCCCAUUGAUCCCAAUGUCCCCAUGACCCCCCACUGACCCCAAUGUCCCCAUUGACCCCAGUGUACCCAUUGACCCCAAUGUCCCCAUGACCCUCCAACUGACCCCAAUGACCCCAUUGAUCCCAAUGUCCCCAUCAACCCCAUUGACCCCAAUGUCCCAUUGACCCCAAUGUCCCCAUUGAUCCCAAUGACCGCUCACUGACCCCAAUGUCCCCGCUGACCCCAAUGUCCCCAUCACCCCCCACUGACCCCAAUGUCCCCAUUGACCCCAAAGUACCCAUCACCCCCCAUUGACCCCAAUGUCCCCAUUGACCCCAAAGUCCCCCUUAUCCCCCAUUGACCCCAAUGUCCCCAUUGACCUCAAUGACCCCAUUGACCCCAAUGACUCCAUUGACCCCAAUAACCCCUCAUUGACCCCAAUGACCCCAUCACCCCCCACUGACCCCAAUGUCCCCAUUGACCCCAAUGACCCCAUUUUUGGGGUCCCUGGAGGUCAUUUUGGGGGGUCCACAGUGACAUUUUGGGGUCAAUAAGUGGGAUGUGGGGAAAAUAAAGGGGAUUUGGGAUCGCACUUUGGGGGCCAUUUGGGGGCAAAUUCAGUAGGAUUUAGGGCAAAAAAGGGGGAAUUUGGGGUAAAAAAGGGGGAUUUGGGGCAAAAAGGGGGGAUUUGGGGCAGAUUAUGUAGGAUUUAGGGCAAAAAAAUGGGAUUUGGGGUAAAAAAGGAAAAGGGGGGAUUUGGGACCGCACUUUGGGGCCAUUUUGGGGCAAAUUAUUGAGAUUUAGGGGAAAAAAGGGGGAUUUGGGGUAAAAAAGGGGGAUUUAGGGCAAAAAAAAUGGGAUUUGGGGUAAAAAAGAGGGAUUUGGGGUAAAAAAAAGGGGGAUUUGGGACCGCCUUUGGGGCCAUGGAGAAAUUUAGGGCCAAUUAUGGGGAAUUUGGGACAAAUAGGGCCGACGUGGGGUCCGAAGGGUUGCAAAUCGGGGGGGGUUCGGUGGUUAUGGGGUCGGUUUGGGGUCGAUGGGGUUACAAUUUGGGGUCAA
rnacentral:lncRNA from 1 species